rnacentral:lncRNA from 1 species
UAUUGCCUGAGAGCAAAUAUCUCCAUCACCGAAAAUGAGGCUGCUCUUUAAUUUCUCCUGUCCCAAGCACAGCCUCUUUCCUGGGAACUUUUGUUAAGAGUUAGAAUUAGGAAAUCAUGGGAAAUGGUCACUGUUUCUCGUCUUAAAGUAGUUUCUGAUCUUAACGAUAACCUUGGCUGCCAAAUCAUCAGCUCCAUCUCUUACCCAGUCUGUAUUGCUUCAGACUGGAGGAAGAACUUCCAGCCUUCUUAUACCCAUUUUUAGUAGCCAACUUCUAGAAAGGAUGCUCACCCUUUGAAUCUGGCAACUCAGUACAAAUGCCAGACUGAAAUGGGAGGAAACACUAGUGGGACAAUUCUACAUGGAAUAAAAAGUAGUUAGGAGAGCACUUUGCUCAAACACUCCAGGGCCAGAAAUGUAGGGGCCUUGCUAGUUCCCUUGGCACGUUCCACCAAGGGAGAGCCAGUGCCUGGGAGAUUGCAAUGGUAGGGGCAACCUGAGGAAACACGCUGAAGUUGGUGUGUGAGUGGGGGCAUGACACUAACAGUCCCUUCCCUACAAUGGACUUGACCUACAUGACCUUAUUUAACCUACUUGAUGACACUGUGACAAGAGUGCAGUUUUCUUUGAGAGGUCUUGGUUAAUAAUUAAACCAACUAUGCCCCUCACAAGCUAAGUAACAUUUGUAAACUUAUUUAUUCCCUCUAAGCACUGAUUUUCUCUAAGUCACAGAGUUUAUCACUAACUCAGAGGGUUGCUGAGGCUCCAUUAAGACUUAAUAGGUGCUAAUCACUGAAAAGAUUGGGAGCCCCACUCUCCCACAAGUUACUCAAAGUAAACACAAUGCUACUCCGUAAAAUGAUGGUAAAAGAAAUCAACAAAGUUCUGAUUUUCCCUAUGAUUUUCCCUAUGAUGGCUAUUUUAUUUCUUUAGGAAUAUCACAUUCUCAAAAGAUAAUUUGGUAGGAACCUACAUUGCUAAUGCUCAAAGCACAUACUCCACUUACAGAGAAAGUCGAGCUGUGCAGGUAUUCAUCCCAAAGCUUCACACUACUAGUGCUAAAUAUAUCAAAACAUAGACUUUUCUAGAAGUGAUAGUUACAGAAACAAUUACUUUCUUCAAACAUUUAUUCCAGAAAUAUUCUAUAUGAUAUGCUCAUUUAUUUUUACAAGGGAGAGAGCCCUGUUUGGAAAUGCAAACCUAUGUGUAUGCAAAAGCUUAUAUGUGUAAUAUUCUUGAUUAAAGUAUAAGGAAGGUGCCUAUCCCUACAGGAGUGCUUAAGUAAAUUGUGAUACAUCCUCCCAAUUGAAUACUAUGUAACCAUUUUUUGAAAAACACAAAACAAACUAAAGCCUCUAUGUACUGAUAUGGAAAACUCCAGAACAUAUCAUUAGGUAAAAAGUAAUAAUAGAGCAGUGUAUAGAGCAUGGUACCUUUCAGGUAAGAAAAGGAGGAGACCAAAACAAUAAGUUUUCUUAAAUUUGCAUAAAGAAACCCUAGAAGAAUACACAAAGAAAUGAAAAUACAGCCGGGCACAGUGGCUCAUACCUGUAAUCCCAGCACUUUGGGAGGCCGAUGCAGGUGGAUCACCUGAGGUCAGGAGUUUGAGACCAACCUGGCUAACACGGUGAAACACCAUCCUACUAGAAAUAAAAAUUUAAAAAUUAGCUGGGGUGCUAACACACCUGCAAUCCGAGCUACUCGAGAGGCUGAGGCAGGAGAAUUGCUUGAACCCAGGAGAUGGAGGUUGCAGUGAGCCAAGAUUGUGCCACUGCACUCCAGCCUGGGUGACAGAGCGAGACUCCAUCUAAAAAAAAUUAAAAACUUAAAAAAAAAAAAAA